GAAGAAGGAAGGAGAUGUAGAGGAGGGAGGGCCAUCAAUCAAGUCUCUAGGCAAGAUGUUUGCUCUGUCCUCGGGAAAGACAGAAAGGAAGUCCAAGGACCCUGGGCAGUGAGCUGCCCCCACCUGAGCAAAGAACGCAGCAUGCCACCUGGCUUCCCUAACACUUAUACUUAUUGUCACCAUGGUAAUUGGUCCUAAUGGCAUGGAGCUACCUACCCCCUUUUCUUCCUGACUCCAGAGUGAGGCAAACAAAUAUCAGUAUAGCCCAGUGACUCAAAGAAGGGCCUCUGGAUUCAUGCUGCUGUGGUUCAAUCUGAUAGCUUUUUGAGUGAUCUUGAACAUUCAAUCAACUCUCUAGGCCAGUAGUUUUCAAAGUGUGUUCUGAAGAUCCAAGGAAGUCCGUGAAGUCCAAACAAUUUCUGUAAUAACAGCUCUGCAGCUAACUGCCUUGGAAACCACAAAGAGGAGUGCAUAUGUUUAUUUGUUGGUGAUCACAUUGCUGGGUACAGUGGAAAAACAUGUAAGAGCUUUCAAUCUGUUUGGAGAUACAGGACUUGUGAAACAACAUCAAAGCAGGUAAGAUGAAAUGUAAAUUAGAUCGAGUAGAGUAUAAGUGCAAAACUGAACUGAGCAAGACACUUCUGCACUUACAUUUUGUAGGAGUUUGGAGAAAAGGGAGACUGAAACGAGAGAUGGAUGGCAGACUGACUGGGUGCCACGUGUCCCUGAAAUGUCCUAACCAUACUCAAUAAGAGUGUGUGCCUUCUCAGGGAGUCUAUAGGGCAUGUGCCAGGCCCUUAAUAUCUACACUGAAAAUGGCGUGUUCAUUUCCAGGAAUACUCUGGUGCACUUUAACAAAACAAAAACCAAAUUCCUACUUCUGAAAUCCUUUUAUCAGAAAAUGCAGGGAUUUGGAGUCAGCUGACCUGUGCCAAAUCCUGAUUCUGUUACUUCAGUGGCUGUGGGAGCUGGGGCAUGUCCAGUCAGCAUAUGGAAUCUUGAGAUCCUGAUGUGACAAAUGGGGUGGUACUAAUACCAGUCCUGCCUAGACUUGGCCCCCAAUGUAAGGGGAACAAAUGAGAUCGUGUAGGCGAUGCCACUUUGCACAUUCUGAAGCACUAAAUGAAUGUGCAAUGGUGUCACCACAUGGUCUUUUGCCUCUUUUGCCUAUUACAUCUCUACCCCCAUGAUGUUCUGAGACUGGUGGCAUCUGCUCCAGAGAGGAAGCAGGCCUGGAAUAGCCCGGGUAUUUACGGAGGAGAUUGGCAGAGUGUGAGUUGUGAAACUCAGUGGUCUGCUCCAGAUCAUCCUGUUGAGUUCCUCACUCUCAUGAGCACUAAAUUUACUCUCCCCAUUUUUUAAAAAAUAGCUUCAGAAAUUUGCUCUAUUAUGUUUCUCUUCACUUUAUGUUGGGGGGAAUUUGAGAAUACUUCCAUACAAAGGGCUGUUCUUUGACUGAGAAUGAUCCUGUCAGGCAUAUAGCUCACCUCUCACUUGUCAGGCACACGGCAAGAGAAUGACUUUCUCAGAAUUAAUGGCCUUUUCUAAACCCAUUAAAGAAACUCUAAAGAUUAGGGCUGCUGUUCCCAAGCAUGAGGAUCAUUUUAUGUGGAUUGGCCACUUUGAAUAAGCUAGUGACUAGUGGAAGAGUAGCUGUAACCCUGCCCUCUGAAGGCUUGUACUCAUAAUGAGCUCAAAUGUGACCUAAGGACAACUAAACCGGUAAGUCUGAGACUUGAUUACCCUGUAUGUUUUGCAGCCUCCUCCUCUUACUCAGUGUGUGACCUUAGGCAGCUCACUGCACCUCUGUGGGAUUCAGUUUCUGCAUCUGCCAUAGAGGGAUCAUGAGUACCGAUCCUCCAGGGCUGACAUGAAAAUUAAAGAAGGUAGAGUGUCUACAGUGCUGAUCUACGUGAUUGGCAUAUAGGCAACACUCUGCAAAUGUUAGCUGUUAUGACUGUGAUGAUGUUAGGACCUUGUCACAGUGUAAAGGAAGCCAUAUCCCUGACCUCUGAGGGCAUGUGCUCAAAAUGAGAUAAAAUACAGAAAGACAAGCAAUCCAAACGUGGGCAGAAGGGGCAGGGAGGUUGCAUUCAGUCCAGUGGUUUCACCGAACCCUCCUUCCUUUCCAUCUCCUCCUACCAAAAUUGUUAACUUUACCACAGAACAAGACAUUAUUUUAACUGCCUAGAAACCAGGGCUUCUUUCGUUUUUUCCCCAAGUGGGGUGAGGGGGAAGGAAAAGAGAGAGGAAAUAAACACCAGCUGGGAUGAGAAUAUGAAGAAAAGAUAGGUUUCUUUUUUUUCCAUUAAAAAAAAAAGAAUGGGGUAGUGGGGACAGGGAGAAAAAUGUGUUUUGAAUGUGGAGGUACUGUUGCAAAUAGCACAGGCAGUUUCCCAGAGCCGCACUUCUUCCAAUCAUCUCAGAGCAGGCAGUGCUCUGGCCCCAGCCAAUUAUUUAUUUACACAAGAGGUACAGAUGCCAGAGGCAGGUGUCAAAACAAUUAAUAACACUCCCGAAAUGAAUAGUCUCUCCGUAACUCUGCCAGCCCGUGUAGGCUGGCUCCUCAGGAGAGAGCUCCCUGAGAAACUGCUCCCAGCCAGAGCAAUGGUCUGGGUCCACUGCGCAAACAUUCAGUACUGAUCUGUAGCUACACUCUACCGCCCAUUGCGUAUGAGGGUGAGGGCUUGCCUUUUCAAGAGACUCACCUUCAUCCCUUCUUGAAAUACCUAGUACUUCGCGAAAGCUGAAUCUUUGCUCAAAAGUCUUUGAGUUUUUCUAGCCAGAGAAAUGCAGAGGCAGACUGGGGGACUCCAAAGUGGUGGGAACUGCUGUUUCUUGAAGAUAAAUUUGCAGUAAAAUGAAUUCUACAAUUGAGGAUUAAAAGGAUUUCAAAUUUAAAUUGAAUUAAAAUUUUAAAACUUAAUUCACUUAUUUUUCAAAACAACCUUACAAGGUAUACACUACUAUUAUCCCCAUUUCCAGACGAAGAAACCGAGUCACAAAAAGGGUAAGUAAUUUGCUCAAGUAAGUAGUAGAUCUAGAAUUUGAACUCAGGUGGGCUGGCUCUAAGGUAAAUGCUCUUAACCAUUAAACACUCUGCUUUGCUCCCUCCUGUUCAUUCCAGAGAUUGAACUUCCUUCUCUUGACCUUACAGCCAAAGGUUGUUAUUGUGUCAUAUAAAUAUACUUUCUAUAACUAUGUGUGUUGGUAUUUAUUUCUCAUUGAGGUUGAGAAGGUCUUGGUGCUUUGAACAUCUUCCCACCUAUCCUGUGCACAACUGCACACACUCUCAAAUAAUGAAAACAUUUUUCUUUUUGAUUUUACAAGCUGAUAUUAUUCUCUUUGGAGCUUUGGUGUCUUAGAAAUGCACUGUAACCUUAAUUACAACUCGUAUCAGGGGAGUUGUACUCAGUUUUAAGGGACUGCUUCACCGUUCUAACUGUGGAGAAAUGGGAAGUUAUUUCCCAGUGGCUCGAAUUAGAAUUAAUGCACUGAGCUCUCCAGACCACAGACAGAAUCAUGAGACAUUGGGUAAGCAUCUGAAUCGGGGAAUUUUCAGCCUCCUGGCAAAUGCUUCUUUUUUCUUCACCCCUUCCCCAAGCCUGCCCAGGAGAAGUCCGUGCCUUGGGGAGUAGGGACUUGAGCUAACUAUCAGGUUGGCAAUCAGUGAAUGCCUGCUGGUGGAUUGAUUGCUAGAGUCUGCUAGAGAAGAACUUUUGAAACCUCAGGAGCAAAAGAGUGUGUGUUCUUGAUUCUAGGGCCAGAUCCAAUCUCCUCAAAAAAUUAAGACAAAGUCAGAGUUUCCCCGACAAAACCCACAUUUGGCAGUCUUCAGAAAGUUUCUAUCACCUGCAGGAUGGAAAAAUCAUGGUCCCCAGGGAAGGUAAUGGGUACUUAUUUCAUGUUUUCGCUUUCAUUGCAGAUGGAAGCAGCAGCAAUAGGAACAGCAGCAACACAGCCUCGGACCAACUGAGCAUUUAAUUGAACACCUAAUGGAGUGACACUUUGUUUCCUAGGCAAAUUUGGUUGCUAUUAACAGGGAGGUAGUUAUCAUGGUUAAAUUUACUCAUUACAACAAAGUACUAGGGGAGCUUUUUAAUAUUUAUGUGACAAUAAUUGAUCUCUUACCACUGUCAAGUACUGCUAAAGACUUAUCAGCUUGCUGUUUCAGCACCAUAUGUUGUAGCCAAGAUGCACUCCAUGUGUCCUUCCUGUGCCUUGGGGAGAGAACAUUUGCAGUAGAUCAGAAUAGAAAAUGGUAUGGGUUUCAGAAAAGCUGCUUGCUCUCAGCUUUCUCGUCAGUGACCGGGGUAUGCAAGUUGUGACUAUAAAGUAAUGAGACUACCUUCCAAAACCACCCGUGAAAUGAAGCCUCGACCUUUAAUUGUUCUCUUCCCUAGGUUUGAACCAAGAACUGGUCGACCUAAUUAAAGGGGAUUCCUCGUAAAUUCGCCUUGUAUUGCAUUCAACUUAUUUUAAAUAGGGCAUUCUGUGAAAUCUGAAAACCCGCCUACAAUUAAAACACUAACAUCUAUACCAUUUGGUUUUUCUUAAUGAGCCAUGUGCUGAUUUCACUUGUCUUAUUUCAGCAAUAACAAGGAUUAGCACACACAUACCAUAAAUCUCCCAGGAACCUAAGGAGUGGGCUUUUAGAAUUUUUCUUGAGGCAGAUUUCAUUUGAACUUUAUUUAUGGGAGUGAGUGAGCUACUUGGGGAAAGAGAGUUUAACUGUUUCAAACUGUGAGGGUCCCCUUAAGUAAACUGCGUCUGGGAAUCACAGUGUGGGUCAAGGAGCUAGAAACAUUAAGCAUCCCACAGUCAUAUGCAUAGGGAGGCUACCUCAAUAGCUCUGCCUGCCUGAUGAGGUGGGGUUGCAAUGACCCUUGGGUCGUCUGGAGGGUCACAGUUUCAGAAGAUGUGGUGAAAUAAGGCAAGUGUGUUACCAUGACCAUGAUAAUAUUUAUAUUUUAGAAGUAUCUUGAUGUGGUGGGCCUUAAGGAACUGACAUUCACAAGUCUUCCUCCAAGCACACACUGUCUACUAGGUCAAUCACACAAUGAGCUGUUAAUAUUUAAAAUCUAAACACAACAAAAAUUUUUUAAAAAUGGAUCUGUCAAUCACAGUGGAAUGCUAUUUUCCUGGGAUCACUGUGCCACCAUCUUUUCUGGGAUCGAGAAUCUCCUUUUCCGUUCGUUUGUUAGUUUGCUUUUUUGCACCGUUGGAGGAGAACGUUUUCAAAGCAAAUUAAGAGAAAAUUGAAGAAAUGGACCUUUAACCCUUCCUCAGAGCUACUGAUGAGGGCCUGAGAGAAACUUCUCUUUAAAAUCCUCUGGAAAUCUAGAAGCCAUUUGAACAUGUUCAUUAGUGGCCUUUGGCCAAUGAUGUCUGUACAUUUCUUAGACAACUUUUCAUAUAUUUGGAAAAUUCAAUCCAGCCCUAAUGCCACUGUGGAUUAUUUCCUUGGGCUCCUGGAUAUUUUCUGUGCUUCUUCUUCUUUUUUUUGGAUCUGAUAAUUUUUUGUAAUUAAGGG
rnacentral:lncRNA from 10 species